rnacentral:rRNA from 1 species
CGCUGGCGGCAGGCCUAACACAUGCAAGUCGAGCGCUACCUUCGGGUGGAGCGGCGGACGGGUUAGUAACGCGUGGGAACGUACCCAGAUCUAAGGAAUAGCCACUGGAAACGGUGAGUAAUACCUUAUACGCCCUUCGGGGGAAAGAUUUAUCGGAUUUGGAUCGGCCCGCGUUAGAUUAGAUAGUUGGUGGGGUAAUGGCCUACCAAGUCUACGAUCUAUAGCUGGUUUUAGAGGAUGAUCAGCAACACUGGGACUGAGACACGGCCCAGACUCCUACGGGAGGCAGCAGUGGGGAAUCUUGGACAAUGGGGGCAAGCCUGAUCGAGCCAUGCCGCGUGAGUGAUGAAGGCCUUAGGGUCGUCCAGCUCUUUCGCCAGAGAUGAUAAUGACAGUAUCUGGUUUUAGAAACCCCGGCUAACUCCGUGCCAGCAGCCGCGGUAAUAC